rnacentral:rRNA from 1 species
CACGUAGGGUGCGAGCGUUGUCCGGAAUUAUUGGGCGUAAAGAGCUCGUAGGCGGUGUGUCGCGUCGGCCGUGAAAACCUGCAGCUUAACUGUGGGCUUGCGGUCGAUACGGGCAUCACUGGAGUUCGGCAGGGGAGACUGGAAUUCCUGGUGUAGCGGUGAAAUGCGCAGAUAUCAGGAGGAACACCAGUGGCGAAGGCGGUUACCUGGGGCUUUGCUGACGCUGAUGCGCGAAAGCGUGGGGAGCGAUCCGG